rnacentral:lncRNA from 1 species
GUCUAAGACUCUGACAAGUGAGCGUAAUGGGGUGUUGGUGGCAACACUGACCUGGACUCCACAGGAGAUGGAUCUGUACCGUCGUGUACCUGUGUGUUUCGCAGCAGACACACUUCACAGUCAGUCAGAAAUGAGGUGCAUCAUUGUGGCAGUGGCAAAAUCAAGGGUUCUUUCAGGUGAAGCAAAAGUCAUCUGUGACGAUAACAGCAUCAGCAUUGUUGUCAGUAAAGCCACCAUGGAUGGCAUUGACCAGAACUGGCUCCAACUGCGAGACCCCACCUGUUCCCUUACCUCUAAUGACACCCACAUCUUGGGCACGAUAUCCCUCAACACCUGUGGCACUACCAUUGAUGACUCAGGAGAUUUCAUCGUCUUCAAAAACGAGAUCAACUCCUUCGAGAACCCGAAUGCUGUUAUCACCAGACGCAAUCAAGUCAAAUUCGGCUUCUCCUGCCAGUAUCCCAAAAUGGCCAGUGUCUCCAACCGC